rnacentral:rRNA from 1 species
CGCGUAGGCGGUCUGCUAAGUUGGAUGUGAAAACUCUGGGCUUAACCCAGAGCCUGCAUUCAAUACUGACAGGCUAGAGUUCUGGAGGGGAUAGCGGAAUUCCUGGUGUAGCGGUGAAAUGCGUAGAUAUCAGGAGGAACACCGGUGGCGAAGGCGGCUAUCUGGACAGAGUCUGACGCUGAGGCGCGAAAGCUAGGGGAGCAAACA